rnacentral:rRNA from 1 species
GACGAACGCUGGCGGCGUGCUUAACACAUGCAAGUCGAACGGAAAGGCCCUGCUUUUGUGGGGUGCUCGAGUGGCGAACGGGUGAGUAACACGUGAGUAACCUGCCCUUGACUUUGGGAUAACUUCAGGAAACUGGGGCUAAUACCGGAUAGGAGCUCCUGCUGCAUGGUGGGGGUUGGAAAGUUUCGGCGGUUGGGGAUGGACUCGCGGCUUAUCAGCUUGUUGGUGGGGUAGUGGCUUACCAAGGCUUUGACGGGUAGCCGGCCGGAGAGGGUGACCGGCCACGUUGGGACUGAGAUACGGCCCAGACUCCUACGGGAGGCAGCAGUGGGGAAUAUUGCACAAUGGGCGGAAGCCUGAUGCAGCAACGCCGCGUGCGGGAUGACGGCCUUCGGGUUGUAAACCGCUUUCGCCUGUGACGAAGCGUGAGUGACGGUAAUGGGUAAAGAAGCACCGGCUAACUACGUG